rnacentral:rRNA from 1 species
UACGAAUGGGGCUAGCGUUGCUCGGAAUCACUGGGCGUAAAGGGUGCGUAGGCGGGUCUUUAAGUCAGGGGUGAAAUCCUGGAGCUCAACUCCAGAACUGCCUUUGAUACUGAAGAUCUUGAGUUCGGGAGAGGUGAGUGGAACUGCGAGUGUAGAGGUGAAAUUCGUAGAUAUUGGGAAGAACACCGAUGGCGAAGGCAGCCAUCUGGACCGACACUGACGCUGAGGCGCGAAAGCGUGGGGAGCAAACAGG